UAGUCAAUAGAUCUACGUGUAAAGAUCAUCAGAAACAUGAAACAGGCAGUACUAUAAAAGUUACCUUUUGGAAUAACUUCCAAAUAUAGAAACUUUUU